CCUACGGGAGGCUGCAGUGGGGAAUAUUGGGCAAUGGAGGAAACUCUGACCCAGCAACGCCGCGUGAAUGAUGAAGGUCUUCGGAUUGUAAAGUUCUUUUCUAAGGGAAGAAGAAAGUGACGGUACCUUAGGAAUACGCCUCGGCUAACUACGUGCCAGCAGCCGCGGUAAUACGUAGGCGGCGAGCGUUAUACGUAAUGACUGGGCGUAAAGGGUGCGUAGGUGGUUUGGCAAGGUAGUAGCGUAACUGCAAGGCUCAACCUUGGAACUGCUACUGAAACUGUUGGACUUGAGUGCAGGAGAGGUAACCGGAAUGCCUAGUGUAGCGGUGGAAUGCGUAGAUAUUAGGAGGAACACCAGUGGCGAAGGCGGGUUACUAGACCGUAACUGACACUGAGGCACGAAAGCGUGGGGAGCAAACAGGAUUAGAUACCCUAGUAGUC
rnacentral:rRNA from 1 species